rnacentral:rRNA from 1 species
UUAGAGUUUGUUCCUGGCUCAGGACGAACGCUGGCGGGCGUCCCUAACACAUGCAAGUCGAGCGAAUGAAGUUCCUUCGGGAACGGAUUUAGCGGCGGACGGGUGAGUAACACGUGGGCAACCUGCCUCAUAGAGGGGGAAUAGCCUUCCGAAAGGGAGAUUAAUACCGCAUAAGAUUGUAGUACCGCAUGGUACAGCAAUUAAAGGAGCAAUCUGCUAUGAGAUGGGCCCGCGGCGCAUUAGCUAGUUGGUGAGGUAACGGCUCACCAAGGCGACGAUGCGUAGCCGACCUGAGAGGGUGAUCGGCCACAUUGGGACUGAGACACGGCCCAGACUCCUACGGGAGGCAGCAGUGGGGAAUAUUGCACAAUGGGGGAAACCCUGAUGCAGCAACGCCGCGUGAGUGAUGACGGCCUUCGGGUUGUAAAGCUCUGUCUUCAGGGACGAUAAUGACGGCACCUGAGGAGGAAGCCACGGCUAACUACGUGCCAGCAGCCGCGGUAAUACGUAGGUGGCGAGCGUUGUCCGGAUUUACUGGGCGUAAAGGGAGCGUAGGCGGAUUUUUAAGUGAGAUGUGAAAUACUCGGGCUUAACCUGAGUGCUGCAUUUCAAACUGGAAGUCUAGAGUGCAGGAGAGGAGAAGGGAAUUCCUAGUGUAGCGGUGAAAUGCGUAGAGAUUAGGAAGAACACCAGUGGCGAAGGCGCUUCUCUGGACUGUAACUGACGCUGAGGCUCGAAAGCGUGGGGAGCAAAUAGGAUUAGAUACCCUAGUAGUCCACGCCGUAAACGAUGGAUACUAAGUGUUGGG